rnacentral:lncRNA from 1 species
GUUCCUACUCCCUGUUCGUACACUCCCUCCCCUUUUGAAAUCCUUAAUAAAAACCUGCUGGUUUUACGGCUCAGGUGAGCAUCACGGUCCUACCAAUAUGUGAUGUCACCCCCGGUGGCCCAGCUGUAAAAUUCCGCUCUUUGUACUCUUUAUUUCUCAGCCGGCCAACAUUUAUGGAAAAUAGAAAGAACCUAUGUUGAAAUAUUGGGGGUGGGUUCCCCCGAUAUCUGGCCCCUAUCGGGUUCCCCCGAUAGUUCUAUCUAAAUUUUUAUCUGAAAAAUAAGUUUCUCUGCUUUAAAAAAGAAACUUUGAAGACCAUUUUACAGAAGAAUUGGUUUGCCAAGGUGGAAAGAGAAGCUCAUCAGUGACGUGACUUAGCCAAAAGCACUGGUUAUACCUCUAUACCUCGGAGCCGACACUGAAAGCCCCGGCCAUAGUCUUUCUGCCCCAAGGAAAGCCUGGGGUGGGGGUGGGUGAUAUUGUCAAGAGCCAGGCCCCAGCUCCUCAUACACACAGCUCAUUUGCUCUCCCUCCCAACCCCCACCUUCAUACUUCUUCCACACGCAUACCAAAGAAAAUAAGAAUCUCAAGGUUGGAAAAUCCCACUUUACUUCAAGUGAAGUCACUGGGUUGUCCCCAUGAAAUAUCUCCACAAUGGGUGUGCUAGACCUUUACUCUCUGUGGCACCACCAAGACCCCCUCACCCUGCCAGAGCCCUCUGAAGUGUACUCAGAAUGGAGGGGCUGGAAGUGGGGCCAGUGGUCCUGGUAGUCAGCCUCCCCUUCUGACACAAGAAUUAUCGUGGAACAGCUUGUGUGACCGAUCAACUGGUCUCUCCAUCUUUAAGCCAUUGUCUUGUUGACUCUGUUACUGCAGAGUUUGGGGAGGUCUCAUGGCUUCUCGCAUCCUAUUUCCUGAGCUUCCCUGAAGCCAACUUCUGGCCACUGGUAUGUGAUGCGAGCACAGUGCCUCCUCCUGCUCCUCCAGGAAGCUUCUGCUGAUUGAACGCAGGCCAGAUGGCGAGAUCCGGAGCAACCUUCUUAGAUCAAGGGAAGAAAGGGGCACAAGAGGGGAGUAGGUAACAAGAUAAAAGGAGCUCCCUCCCUGAUGACUACAGAGCCAUCGUGGCAGCCCUGGGCCUCCAUUUCAGACGUUCAUCUUGCCUAAGCCACCACCAUCAGGGUCUCAGUCAGUCAUCAUUCUCAUUUACUCGGGUGGCUGGGUGAGGGCGGAAUACUACCUUCCAGCUGUCUGAGAUUAAGCCUAAGCCACCACCAUCAGGGUCUCAGUCAGUCAUCAUUCUCAUUUACUCGGGUGGCUGGGCGAGGGCGGAAUACUACCUUCCAGCUGUCUGAGAUUAAGCAGAACAGCAGCUAAAGCAGUAACAGCAGGUCUCCUUCAGCAGCUUGCCACAGGGAAGAGGGUCCCGCGUGAACCGAACUCAACUUCCACCUGCGCAGAGGUAGCUACCAUUUGCGUAGAGGUAGCUGGGUCUUUAAGGUUAGAGGGAAGGCGCAGGGAGGGAGAGACGGCGGGUGGGGGUUGAACAAAGUGGAGAUUCACAAAAGCAGACUAGGGCGGGCGACGUGAUCAGAUGACCUGUGCGGGCGGCAGCCUCCUGCCCUCCUCCCCUUCGUGCGCCGGCUGGAGCGAAGAGUUCUUUUGACAGCCGUGAGCUUCCCCGCCAGGAACUUACUGGGGCUGCAUCACCCUAGAAACGUGGCUUUGGGCUGUGGAAACGCUGCCUCUGUGGAAGUCUCUCCUCGCGGGGGUGGACGGGUCGCUGCGCGCCCAGCGUUCUUCUGCGGUUCUCACAGCCCGCCGCCGCCGCCGCCUCGGGGACCUUUGCGGGGAGGCCUCAGGUACCAGUCAGGACUGGUAGACUUUAAUGUGGAGAACUUCUGAAACAGCAGUUCUCAAAAUGUUACCUCCAGACACACAGAAUCUGCAUCACCCAGGAACUUGUAACCAUGCAAAUUCUCAGCCACCCAGACUUCCUGCAUCAGAAACUCUGGGGCCCAGCAGCCUGUGUUUUAACAAAGCCCUUCAGGUGAUUCUGACACUUGCUCAAGUUUGAGAACCGCUGUUCUAGGAGCUGGUCCUGCAGGGAAAGGGUGGCCUCUCAGUUCAGGUUCCAGUGUGGCUGGGGGUGGGGGUCAAGGUGAGGGUUUGGUUGUUGUGUCUGACAGUCAGCCAGGCUUGAGCACACGGACUGUUUACAAGGCUGCACUUUCCAUGUUCUGGUCAGCAGUCUCCUGGUUCAUUCCGUUACGAAUGGACUGUCACCCCAAAAUUAAUGUUGAAAUCUAUUUCUCUAUUUGGAGGUGGGGCCUUUGGGAGGUAAUUAGGUCAUGAGAGUGGAGCCCUCAUGAAUGGAAUGACUGCCUAAGAGAACAGAGAUGGC